rnacentral:rRNA from 1 species
CCUACGGGAGGCAGCAGUGAGGAAUAUUGGUCAAUGGGCGCGAGCCUGAUCCAGCCAAGUAGCGUGAAUGAUGACUGCCCUACGGGUUGUAAACUUCUUCUAUAAAGGAGUAAAGUGAGGCACGUGUGCAUUUAUGUCUGUACUUUAUGUAUCAGGAUCGGCUAACUACGUGCCAGCAGCCGCGGUAAUACGGAGGUUCCGAGCGUUAUCCGGAUUUAUUGGGUUUAAAGGGAGCGUAGAUGGGUUGUUAAGUCGGGUGUGAAAGUUUGAGGCUCAACCGUAAGAUUGCAAUUGAUACUGGGAGUCUGGAGUGCAGUAGGGGUAGGCGGAAUUCGUGGUGUAGCGGUGAAAUGCUUAGAUAUCACGAAGAACGCCGAUUGCGAAGGCAGCUUACUAAACUGCCACUGACAUUGAGGCUCGAAAGUGUGGGUAUCAAACAGGAUUAGAUACCCGAGUAGUC